AGAGUUUGAUCCUGGCUCAGGACGAACGCUGGCGGCGUGCUUAACACAUGCAAGUCGAGCGAUGAAACUUCCUUCGGGAAGUGGAUUAGCGGCGGACGGGUGAGUAACACGUGGGUAACCUGCCUCAAAGUGGGGGAUAGCCUUCCGAAAGGAAGAUUAAUACCGCAUAAUAUGAGAGAAUCGCAUGAUUUUCUUAUCAAAGAUUUAUUGCUUUGAGAUGGACCCGCGGCGCAUUAGCUAGUUGGUAAGGUAACGGCUUACCAAAGGCAACGAUGCGUAGCCGACCUGAGAGGGUGAUCGGCCACAUUGGAACUGAGACACGGUCCAGACUCCUACGGAGGCAGCAGUGGGGAUAUUGCGCAAUGGGGGAAACCCUGACGCAGCAACGCCGCGUGGGUGAUGAAGGUCUUCGGAUUGUAAAGCCCUGUUUUCUAGGACGAUAAUGACGGUACUAGAGGAGGAAGCCACGGCUAACUACGUGCCAGCAGCCGCGGUAAUACGUAGGUGGCGAGCGUUGUCCGGAUUUACUGGGCGUAAAGGGUGCGUAGGCGGAUGUUUAAGUGGGAUGUGAAAUCCCCGGGCUUAACCUGGGGGCUGCAUUCCAAACUGGAUAUCUAGAGUGCAGGAGAGGAAAGCGGAAUUCCUAGUGUAGCGGUGAAAUGCGUAGAGAUUAGGAAGAACACCAGUGGCGAAGGCGGCUUUCUGGACUGUAACUGACGCUGAGGCACGAAAGCGUGGGUAGCAAACAGGAUUAGAUACCCUGGUAGUCCACGCCGUAAACGAUGGAUACUAGGUGUAGGGGGUAUCAACUCCCCCCUGUGCCGCAGUUAACACAAUAAGUAUCCCGCCUGGGGAGUACGGUCGCAAGAUUAAAACUCAAAGGAAUUGACGGGGGCCCGCACAAGCAGCGGAGCAUGUGGUUUAAUUCGAAGCAACGCGAAGAACCUUACCUGGACUUGACAUCCCUUGCAUAGCCUAGAGAUAGGUGAAGCCCUUCGGGGCAAGGAGACAGGUGGUGCAUGGUUGUCGUCAGCUCGUGUCGUGAGAUGUUAGGUUAAGUCCUGCAACGAGCGCAACCCUUGUUAUUAGUUGCUACCAUUAAGUUGAGCACUCUAAUGAGACUGCCUGGGUAACCAGGAGGAAGGUGGGGAUGACGUCAAAUCAUCAUGCCCCUUAUGUCCAGGGCUACACACGUGCUACAAUGGUAGGUACAAUAAGACGCAAGACCGUGAGGUGGAGCAAAACUUAUAAAACCUAUCUCAGUUCGGAUUGUAGGCUGCAACUCGCCUACAUGAAGCUGGAGUUGCUAGUAAUCGCGAAUCAGAAUGUCGCGGUGAAUACGUUCCCGGGCCUUGUACACACCGCCCGUCACACCAUGAGAGCUGGUAACUACCCGAAGUCCGUGAGGUAACCGUAAGGAACCAGCGGCCGAAGGUGGGAUUAGUGAUUGGGGUGAAGUCGUAACUAAGGUAGCCGUAGGAGAACCUGCGGCUGGAUCACCUCC
rnacentral:rRNA from 1 species